AUACGUGUAGUCUUUUCCUUGUAGGCAUAGCCACAUAAGGACACGUGUGAAAGAUUUUCCCAUUCACUUGUAGGCGCAGGGAAGUCGAGCAUAAGCAGAAGGUAUGCGUGUUACAAUGGAAGCAAGAAAAGAGAGAAACGAGCAGAAGGAAAAAGAAGAGCAGCAAGAAUUGCAGAAGGUGCGGAGGAAGAAUCAAAGCAAAACCCGCUCAUCUAUUGAUCCAGUUGCCAAGGAUUUGAUCCGCGAAUCCAUCACCGGCGCUGCCAAUACCUCCUCUACCACCAUCGGCGGAGGUGGCCAAGAAAAUAAGGGUCAUAGUGUUGAAGUUGUUGAGGAUGUUCUUGUUUUUUCUAGAUCUGUUCCCAAGAUGGACUCUUCUCUUGAGUGAGAUUUUCUCUAAAUAAAUUAUAUCUGUAUUCAUAUUCUCUCCACUUAUUCUGCAGCUUUAUUCAUAUGUGAUUUGAAUCUUGGAUUUUCUUUUGUUUGUUGGAAGGAAAAUAUAAAGAAAAUAAAUAAAGACAAGAUCGAAUUAGAAUAGCUAACGGAAAAAAAAUAUUUUCUUUGGUCUUUCCUUUGGCAAGGGAUGGUGCACAUAUAGGAGGAAAUAUUAAAAGAUUAUAAGAAAAGUCAAAGAUUAAAAAAAA
rnacentral:lncRNA from 1 species